rnacentral:rRNA from 1 species
AGCGAACGCUGGCGGCAGGCUUAACACAUGCAAGUCGAACGGACUGCUUCGGAAUUCGUUGGCAGACGGGUGAGUAACCCGUGGGAACGUGCCCGUCGGUUCUGAAUAACUCAGGGAAACUUGAGCUAAUACCUGAUACGCCCAUUUGGGGGAAGGUUUACUUCCGAAGGGUCGGCCCGCGUCUGAUUAGCGUGGGGGUUGGGUAACGGCAUACCAAGGCGACGAGCAGGAGCUGGGCUGAGAGGAUGAUACGCUACAAUGGGACUUCGACACGGCCCAGAAUGCUACGCGAGGGAGCAGUGGGGUACAUUGGAGAAUGGGGGCAAGCGCGACAAAGCCAUGCCGGGGGAGAGAUGCAGGCCUUAGGGUUGUACAGCCCCUUUGUACGGGACGAUAAUGACGGUAACGGAAGAAUAAGCCCCGGCUAACUUCGUG